CUGAAAUCUGAUCUUGGUUUGGAAGUACUUAUUGCGAUUAGCUGUUUAAAUAAUGUUCUUUUUUCCUUUUUAUAGGUCCUUUUAUUCUGUGUAACAGCUGCCCUGUUUAUGUUCUUUUUCAGCAAGGAUGGUUUGAAAGGAUUUACAUUCUCGGCACUGAAAUUCAUUGUAGGGAAAGAAGAAAUUCCCACCCAUUCGUAUGUACCGGAAGGAGUUUUUGUAAAGAAAGAAAUUAAAAUAAAACACUGCGAAGAUAUAACACAGCAAAUGAAUUUUAUUGCUGCAACAAAAAAAAUGGUGGACAAUAUAUGCAAAAAUGGUCCCAGGCACAGAUGCUGUAAGCACUACGAAGAUAAUUGCAUCUCAUAUUGCAUUAAAGGCUUCAUUAGGAUGUUUAGCGUCGGAUACUUGAUCCAGUGUUGCCUUCGCAUCCCAUCUGCGUUCCGACAUCUAUUUACAAAACCAUCCCGGCUUCUCUCGCUUUUCUACAACAAAGAAAACUUCCAGCUUGGAGCUUUCCUUGGGUCAUUCGUCAGCAUAUACAAAGGUACAAGCUGUUUCCUACGAUGGGUACGGAACCUGGACGAUGAAGUACACGCACUCAUUGCAGGGCCCCUAGCAGGAUUGUCAAUGAUGUUUUACAGAAGCACAACUAUUUCAAUGUACCUGGCUUCCAAACUAGUAGAGACUAUGUAUUUCAAAGGCAUUGAAGCUGGAAAGGUUCCUUAUUUCCCUCAUGCAGACAGUAUAAUCUAUGCUGUAUCCACUGCCAUCUGCUUCCAAGCUGCUGUGAUGGAAGUCCAGAAUCUGAGACCUUCGUACUGGAAAUUCCUAUUGCGAUUAACAAAAGAAAGAUUUGGGGUCAUGAACAGAAAAGUAUUGGAUACAUUUGGUACUGAAGCAUCUAGGAAUUUUAAGGAUUUCUGUCCAGAACUUGACCCAAGAUAUACAGUGUUUCCACCAGAGAGACCACUUGAAAAGUCUUGGAACUGAUACAUCCGUCCGUGAUUAUGUCUUAGCACUGGCUGUCCUAAAGAGUUAAUUAACUUAAUAGUCAAAUAGAUGGAAGACUGCUUGUGUUCCACAUCAGUAUUGUUUCAGUGAGUUAUAUUAUACAAUCAAAAUACUGAAACACCAUUGCAAGGUGUGGCUUAAUUCCACUUCCCUUCUUAGAUAGAAGUUCUGGAUCACUGUGGCUGGUUGACACAACCGGGUAGAUUUUUUUAAAAUUGCAUUAUAUAUCAACGGAUUAAUAUAUGAAAAAGAAUUUUUUUAAAAAAUAAAAAGCCCAAUGUGGUUUAAAAGAUAUACA
ensembl:lncRNA